AUGGACAGGAGUGGCUUUGGAGAGAUGUUAUCCCCUGUAAUCCGAGAGCCAGAGGUGACACGGACUGCACGGAAGCAGAGUGCUCAAAAAAGAGUUUUAAUUCGAGCCUCCCAUGAUGAAAAUGUUGGGAAUUCUACACCAAGAAACCAGAUGAUUCCUCGAACUCCCAGCUCAUUUCGACAGCCUUUUACUCCUCCAAACCGAAGCUUACCAAAAUAUCCAGAUGUUUCCUGCAUUUUGGGAACAGAAGAGAGGUCUCCUCAGCUCACACAGUCUUCAGGAUUUUUGGGAAAUAUGUCCAUGAUAACGAAUCUGGACGACAGUAACUGGGCAGCUGCAUUUGCAACACGGCAUUUAGGACUCUUCACGAAAACAGAGCCCAACAACCUCACAGAGGAUGCAAAUGUCAGCGCAGUUAUGUUACGUGAAGAUGAUCCGGGAGAAGCUGGUUUAGUUUUUAAUGUGACAUUGUUGAUGUGCUUCGUUUUGGCCUGGACACUAGUACUGUUUUUUUUUCCAGGUAAUAUUGUGACCUUGCUAGUUUUAAGUUGGUUAUUACCAUUCCCUCAUGGAAAACACCAUUUGCUUUAUUGUCCUUGUACCUACACGUUACUAUGUUAGUUCUUCAUCAUAACUUAACACAGUAAGUGCUAGUCAGUGUGUUUACCACUAUAGAAGCAUUAAAUUAUGUGGUCCUUUCCACGGUCCACUAAAGAGUUACAAUGAUUAUUCCC
rnacentral:lncRNA from 1 species